GAUGAACGCUGGCGGCGUGCCUAAUACAUGCAAGUCGAGCGAAUGGAUUAAGAGCUUGCUCUUAUGAAGUUAGCGGCGGACGGGUGAGUAACACGUGGGUAACCUGCCCAUAAGACUGGGAUAACUCCGGGAAACCGGGGCUAAUACCGGAUAACAUUUUGAACCGCAUGGUUCGAAAUUGAAAGGCGGCUUCGGCUGUCACUUAUGGAUGGACCCGCGUCGCAUUAGCUGGUUGGUGAGGUAACGGCUCACCAAGGCAACGAUGCGUAGCCGACCUGGGAGGGUGAUGGGACACACUGGGACUGAGACACGGCCCAGACUCCUACGGGAGGCAGCAGUAGGGAAUCUUCCGCAAUGGACGAAAGUCUGGCGGAGCAACGCCGCGUGAGUGAUGAAGGCUUUCGGGUCGUAAAACUCUGUUGUUAGGGAAGAACAAGUGCUAGUUGAAUAAGCUGACACCUUGACGGUACCUAACCAGAAAGCCACGGCUAACUACGUGCCAGCCGCCGCGGUAA
rnacentral:rRNA from 1 species